UUUCGGGUGAAUGAUUACUCUUCAUUGGGUCGUAGUACGGGGGCUAAAGGAUCGCGCGGCGGCAGGCGGGUACGGGGUCGCGCGGCAGCUGGCCGGGACGGGGUCGUGCGGCGGCAGGCUAGGGACGGGGUCGCGUGGCAGCUGGCCGGAACCGGGUCGCGCGGCGGCUGGUCAGGGAAGGGUCGUGCGGCGGCUGGCCAGGGACGGGGUCGCGUGGUGGCGGCCGGGGGCGGGGUCGCGCGGGGGUUGGAGCCGACUCGCGGAGGUGUGGGGAGAUGAGGAGGGAAGAAGAAGUAGUUGCGUCUGCCCGGGCUAUUCAAGAGCGUGGUUGGUGGCACAGUGUUGGAGUCCAUGGAGGUAGCGUGGGGGUGGGAGUAGCACUACUCGUGCGUACCUAGGCUUCGACGUCCACGUUGGGUGCUCCGAACUCCCUGCUCGCGCUGUUGUUGUGAACACAUUCAAGUUCACCAGUCAGGUCGAGGACGUUGGUUGUGUCCAGCAACGGGGAAAACGGUGUUGUCAUCGUCGUGUUUGUAAUCACACCAGUAGGAGUUGGUCAAAGAGUGCGCCGGAGGGGCGUUCGGGACGAGUACUAGUCCUAUUGGAGCUAUCCAAUGUGUACAACGAGUGCUCCGACUAUCCAAGGUGUACAACGGGUCCUCAUAUGGGCAUACCUCGCCUCUACUGUCAGCUAGAACAACUGUUAAGAGUUAUUUUUACUACCACUUCAACCGUUUGCAGAUUUAGUCUAUCACGUAUGGGGACAUUCAAGUGAACAGUAACUCGCCAAUCAACUUCUAAUUAGUAAAAAUCUUUAUGUCGUCCAAAUACCACGAUUAUGGGU
rnacentral:rRNA from 1 species